CUAUCUGCAAGAUAGGGCAGGAUUCGAGCCUGCAGCAGGUUCGAGUUGAGCGAAAGCGAAACAACGUUGUGAUAACAACGGCCCAGAGGGUGAUAAUAAUCCUGCACGACCCACCA
rnacentral:sRNA from 1 species